rnacentral:lncRNA from 1 species
CCCGGCUCUCGGUUCCACUCACGAUGAGUCCCUGGGGAUGCGGAGCUCUUGCGAUUCUGCCAUCUGAUCCUGCAAUACAGGAAAUCACCACUUUCUGGCCUCUGCUGACUGGAGAGCCAGUGUGGCAGGCAGGAAGCUCCAGUCUGGGCUGUCCACUGCCAGGUCAGGUCUGGGGAGAAGGUGGAGAGUCCCAGGCCCGAGAUGGGCUCCUGGUUGGGGUGGGGAGGGCCAGGACAGCCAGCGUGUUCACUCCUCCCACAGACGGUUCUACAAACCCUCGUGGAAACUUUCUGUGCGGCUGGCCCUGUGCUUGGUGCUGUGGGAGCACAAAGGCAAGAGAUCAUGGCACCUGACUUCCAGGAGCCUCCAUCCUGCAGGUCCAAGUAGGACAUUAGCUGCAGAGAAACAGAGCAAAGGAAUAAAUAGCAGUCAGGGAUUUUUCACUUGCAAGUGACGUGAACCCAGGGCCAGAGUAAGAUCUAUAGAGAGGCUGGGCGCGGUGGCUCACGUCUGUAAUCCCAGCACUUUGAGAGGCUGAGGUGGGCGGAUCACUUGAGGUCAGGAGUUUGAGACCAGCCUGGCCAACAUGGUGAAACCCUGUCUCUAUUAAAAAUACAAAAAUUAGCUGGGUGUGGUGGCAUGCGCCUGUAAUCCCAGCUACCCAGGACGCUGAGG